rnacentral:lncRNA from 1 species
UAUAUCUAUACUGGUAUGUGGAUCCAUAAUGCUGUACUAUAGAAGGUGAUAUAUCUAUACUGGUAUGUGGAUCUAUAAAGCUGUACUAUAGAAGGUGAUAUAUCUAUACUGGUAUGUGGAUCCAUAAUGCUGUACUAUAGAAGGUGAUAUAUCUAUACUGGUAUGUGGAUCUAUAAAGCUGUACUAUAGAAGGUGAUAUAUCUAUACUGGUAUGUGGAUCCAUAAUGCUGUACUAUAGAAGGUGAUAUAUCUAUACUGGUAUGUGGAUCCAUAAUGCUGUACUAUAGAAGGUGAUAUAUCUAUACUGGUAUGUGGAUCCAUAAUGCUGUACUAUAAAAGGUGAUAUAUCUAUACUGGUAUGUGUAUACAUAAUGCUGUACUAUAGAAGGUGAUAUAUCUAUACUGGUAUGUGGAUCUAUAAUGCUGUACUUUAGGAGAUGAUAAAUCUAUACUGUGUCAUGAUGUUGGCCUGUGGGUAAGGUUUAUGACCCUCCAUAAAUACCUUUCUCCCUUCCCCUCUCUCUCUGACUCUACUGAAGGACUCUCGAAUAGCCUUUGUUAAACAUAGAGAGCCUGGGAACAUCAAACAAGUGGGGGGAAAGGAACCAUAUUUCGGUAAUAGAACCAGUUGGAAAUAUGCGUUGGUACUUAAUGAAUAUGGAUGUCAGUUCGGUUGUCAUCUGAGACAUUAUGACUGAUGACAGGACGACAUAAACUGUACCUGAGAAAGUAUACACACUCUAG